UCCUCGGCGCCAGCCGUUAUUGAAACAGUCUUCUGGGCGCGUUCGUUCGACGAGGACAUACACAUACCGGUACACACAGAGGCAUCCGACAAGUGUAAUCAUGGCAGAGAAUAAGCACGAAGAGGCUGUCGCUCAAGUAGCCAAGAGCGCGCAGAGCUUCACCAACGACUUCCACAAGAAUGUAGCCGGCAAGACCGACGGCAACUUCGUCAGUUCGGCCUUGAGCGCCCACGUGGUUCUGGCGAUGGCCGCCUACGGCGCUGACGGCAAGACCAAGGAGGAGAUGCAGCGGACUUUGCACCUGCCCGAGAAAGACGAAGUGGCUCACGAGGGAUUCCAGCACUUCCUUCACGCUAUCAAUAACGUGCCAGACGUCAUCCUCAAAAUAGCGAACAAAAUCUACGGCGCCAGCGAUCUUAAGAUCAAGGACCGAUUCCUGGAAAUCACCGGCAAACACUUCCAUUCGGAAUGCAGCAAGUUGGACUUCAGCAAAGCCAAGGAAUCGGCCGACGAAGUGAACAAUUGGUGCGUCGAGAAGACCAAUGGCAAAAUCAAGGAUCUUCUCACCGAAGGUGACGUCACCUCGGACACGCGGAUGAUCCUCCUCAACGCCGUGUACUUCAAGGGCAAGUGGUUGCACAAGUUCCACGAAGAGGCGACGGAGCCCAAGCCCUUCCACGUCAACAAGACGACGACGGUCGAUGUCCCAACGAUGCACAUCACCAAAAAAUUCUUUUACAAGGAUCUGAAGGAAUUGAACGCCGAAGUCGUAGCUCUUCCGUACGAGAACGAAGACUUGGCGCUGGUGAUCAUAGUUCCUAAAGAGAUCGACGGACUGAAGCAAGUCGAGGACAAUCUUGAGAAGAUUCAAAUUGACGAGCACGACCUCAAGCGCUACAAGCGCGAAAUCAAUUUGGCGCUGCCGAAAUUCAAAAUCGAGACCACCAUAGAUUUGAACCAGCAUCUCGAUGAGCUGGGAAUGUCAACGAUGUUCACCGAUAAAGCCGAUUUCAGUGGCAUAGCUAGUGAAUCUCUGAAGGUCAGCAAGGUACUGCAGAAGGCCUUCAUCGAGGUUAAUGAGGAAGGCAGUGAAGCAGCAGCAGUUACAGCUGUUAUGAUGGUACGGUGCUGCGCGAUGAUGCCUCCUCAACCACCACACAAAUUGACCGUGGAUAGGCCAUUUUUUUACAAGAUAGUUUAUAAAGGCAUCCCGUUAUUCAGUGGUCACGUUGUUAAACCUUUAGAAUAAAAAUAUAUUCUGCUCAACACUCGAUUAUUCAAAAUUGAAAAUAUGUUAUAAAGCUUUAAUAAUGCGUGUUUGAAAUAAGACUGUUAUAGAACUAUUAUGAUGGAUAUGAUGGAUACGCUGUGUGAAGAGCAGAAGCUUACGAUUGACAGACCAUUCAUUUACAAGAUUGUAUACAAAUCCAGCGUGCUAUUUAGCGGCCAUGUAGUCUACCCUCUUAAAUAAAUGAUGAUGAGCGAUGAUAAUGUUGUGCUCAUUACCACCACCGCCGCAGAGAUUUAACGUGGACAAAUCAUUCUUUUACAAGAUUGUGUACAAGAACCAUGUUCUUUUUUCCGGCCGCGUAACGAAUCCAUCAAUCGCAGCUUGAACGUCAAUAUGAUUCAAUCAUCUGUGAUAGGCCAUACCAUUAUUUGUAAUUGCGAUAGUACAUACGAAAGCUUUUCAAAAAAUAUUAUUUUACUCUUUCAACGAAAAAAAAUAUAUAUAUUUUCAAUUGAAUGAAUUUUUAAUUUAGGUAUUAGUAUGAUGACCUACAUGAUGCCCCCACCUCCGAUAGUUCUGAACGUGGAUAAGCCAUACCUCUACCAGAUUGUUUGCAAAGAUAGCACUAUAUUCAGUGGUCGCGUUGCCAACCCCCUCAAAUAAUUUAUGUUUUCGCCAAGCAUCAUAAAUUUCUAGCGCCUUUUCUAUUGUGUAACGAAGCGAAAAUAUUUUAUUUUGUAUCAAUGUGAAAGAUAUUUGUAUUUGUAUUUUGUACGUUAAAAACGUAUGUUUGACUGCAUUAUGAUAAAUAAAGUAUAUUUAUACAA